UGAUAGCCUCGUCGGGCCAGUCGAGCCACAACCGAGGCCAGGGAAUCCGGUGUGAAUCCGGAACUGACGCGCAGCGGUGAGGGGGACGGGCGGGGCACGACGUCACUGGGAGACCGGGAAGGCGCCCCGGCCGGACGAACCCGAGUCCGAAGACCUGCUGGCACCGCCGCGCCGCC
rnacentral:ncRNA from 1 species